rnacentral:rRNA from 1 species
UCGAGAAUCAUUCGCAAUGGGCGCAAGCCUGACGGUGCGACGUCGCGUGGAGGAUGAAGGUCUUCGGAUUGUAAACUCCUGUCAUGUGGGAUAAAUGGCCAGGGCAUGAAUAGUGCCUUGGAAUGAUAGUACCACAGGAGGAAGGGACGGCUAACUCUGUGCCAGCAGCCGCGGUAAUUCAGAGGUCCCGAGCGUUGUUCGGAUUUACUGGGCGUAAAGGGAGCGUAGGCGGUUUGGUGUGUC